UGAGCCUGAAAGAUGGCCGCCUGGUUUUCAGGAGGAAAGUCCGGGCAACAGAGAGCAUGGUAGUCGCUAACAGCGACCGUCCGUAAGGAUAGGGAAAGUACCACAGAAACUAAACUGCCCACCGAUUAUCAAGGGCGAUGGUGAAAAGAGUGAGGUAAGAGCUCACGGUAUACUAUAGCGAUGUAGUAUAGAGGCAAACCCUACUUGUUGCAAGGAGUACUAUCAACCUCUGCUCGAGGAUGUACGCUUACCGCUUGAGCAUUAUAGCAAUGUAAUGUCUAGAUAGAUGGUCAUCAACUAUAUAUUAUAUAUAGUUACAGAACCCGGCUUAUAGAAGGCUCGAUUA
rnacentral:RNase_P_RNA from 1 species